rnacentral:rRNA from 1 species
AUUGAACGCUGGCGGCAUGCCUUACACAUGCAAGUCGAACGGUAACAGGUCUUCGGAUGCUGACGAGUGGCGAACGGGUGAGUAAUACAUCGGAACGUGCCCGAUCGUGGGGGAUAACGAAGCGAAAGCUUUGCUAAUACCGCAUAAGAUCUAAGGAUGAAAGCAGGGGACCGCAAGGCCUUGCGCGAACGGAGCGGCCGAUGGCAGAUUAGGUAGUUGGUGGGAUAAAAGCUUACCAAGCCGACGAUCUGUAGCUGGUCUGAGAGGACGACCAGACACACUGGGACUGAGACACGGCCCAGACUCCUACGGGAGGCAGCAGUGGGGAAUUUUGGAGAAUGGGCGAAAGCCUGAUCCAGCCAUGCCGCGUGCAGGAUGAAGGCCUUCGGGUUGUAAACUGCUUUUGUACGGAACGAAAAGACUCUUUCUAAUAAAGGGGGUCCAUGACGGUACCGUAAGAAUAAGCACCGGCUAACUACGUGCCAGCAGCCGCCGUAA